GGGGUGACACUGGAGGAGCUUUAGGGUCCCUUCCAGCCCAAACCAUCCUGGAAUUCUGUGCAACUCUGUCUUUAUUUGGGUAUCAAAUGUCUUAGAGGAAUCAAUGCUGUUAAUGACAGAAAUCAUUUCAUUCCAUCAAUAAAUUCCCAUUAAUUGGAGGAGAGGUCACAGUGACUCAUUCUGGUCUUAGGGUGAUGAUCAUAAAAUCAAACAAAGAAAAAAAUGAAACACUCGGGUGCCAUUCAGCAAAAUUAACAGGUCCCAAGAAAUUCAGCAGAUUCCCUUGAAAGAUGUGGUUAAACACAGAAGAAAUUUCUUCCCAGUGCUGUGAUGCUCCAAGCCCUUGGAGAAGGCUUAGAGGUUUUGAGAACAAAAUUAAUGAUACCCUUACAAUUAUUGCAGUUGUUCUGUUUGAGAGUGAUGAUUAAAUCCGAUCAGAAAUAACAUCUGCAGUGGGAGCAGAGUUUAAAUAUCUGGAUUGUGGCUGUGCAGUUCACAAAGAAAAUAGAAAAUAUCAUCUAUUAACACAAAAAGCAACGUGAGAAUGAUUUAUUUGUCAGGCAGGAAAAAAAAAUACAGAUCUUUUCAUGGCACUGAAAAAAAUCUGGGGAGAUUAAGAACUGAAUGGGAAGUUUGAGGCACAGUUGAUAGAAAACCUCAACACCAAAUUAUGUGAACAAAGUCACUUUAAGGGAAGACUCAGAACCACUUUGGAGACUCCAAACAAGAUCUGUUUAAAUUGGCAGAUGAAAUACUACAUUAUCAUCCCAGAGCUGCUCCAUAUUAUGUGUUCUCCCUUUAAAAUGCCAUUUUUCACUCCAAUUCUCAAUCCAUUUCCCAGUUUUCAGCACGUGAGCUUUCCUUUUCAGAGCCACUGGUCCAAACUUCUGUGCUGAACUCAUUAAAGAAAUCAUUUGUUGGAUCCUGCCUUGAAUUCUGCACCAGUUUAUUCCUUGGACUUUGUUGGUUUAGGCUCAGGGUUAGGCUUAGGCUUUGGUUAGAGACCAAGUAGAGGACACCAAAGCCAACAGAGGUGUCAAAAAAUGGUGCUGGUUACACUUGGUGAUCUCAAGGGCUUUUUCCAACCUUAACUAUCCUGAUUCUGAGGGGCUGUAGGGUUUGGCAGCACAAAGUGUGGAUUUAGAGCUGAUUGGUUUGGUUUGGUGGUUUUGGGGUUGGAAAAGCCCUCCAAGGUGAUGGAGUCCAAGCUGUGACCGUCCCCACUUUGUCACCAGAGCCCUGAGUGCCACCUCCAGGCAUUCCUUGGACCUCAGUGUCCAACAUUCCUUGGAUUGGGUUUUCAGUGAUGCUGAGCUCAUCACCAGAUCUUUUUCACCUCUCGCUUCACAGAAACUUCUGGCACUCCCAGGUCUUCCUUGAGCCUUCAAUUAUGAAAAGAACUUUUUUUUUUUUCCAUUCUUCUCCUACCCCUCAAGCCCAUAUCUGGAAAUUCCCCACCAAUCUGCCAGGGCAGCAUCCCCUCCAGGGCCUGCACAGCAGAAUUUUAGGACUUGCCUGGCUCAUUUUGUGCCUGCAGUGUUUUGCCCACACUGCUGCAUCCAUUCUCAGCUGGGCACGACUGCAGGGACACACAAUUGCUUUUUCAGGUUUGCAUGAAAAAGAAAAGGAGAAUAAUCAUGGGCAGUUUUAUUUCAGAGACUGCUGGGAAUUCUUUCCUCUACGAGGACUUUGCAUUUUUGGAUGCUCUAGACAGGGCAGAGUAUCCAUGUAGGGAUUCCAUGACUGGCUGGUUGAUGGGAGAAGUUGGAUUGAAAGGUGGUGGUUUUUUUUCUCAGGUGAUGGAAGUCAGGGGAGUUUUCCUUUGCUUAGACUUGGAUUCCUCCAUGCUCUCUUUUUUUAGAAAGUCUAAACCAAGUGGAAUUGACUUAGUAAAAAAGAAAAACUGUUUACAAGACAAAAACUUCUGGGCCUGUUGAGUUUUCUGGUGAUUUAAUUUUUUUUUAUAUUUAUCUUAUCAUAGCUACAGUGCUGAGAUAUGAAAGCAGCACUAACAAAUUAUGCUCUGGGCUUACAUUGUUGAAUAAUUUUAUUUUUUUCAAAGCAUAACUGCAAUUUCUAGUGACCUUGUCUUCAAGUUGCCUUUAAUUUCAGUCUAGGGAGGUGGUUUAACUUUUCAUAAUCUAUUAGUGCUUAAAAUAAGUCACAUUUCAAUACUAAUUUGUCAUUUUAUUUAAUUGAAAUUUUAACUCACGGGAUCCUUGCUGUUGUUAUUUUGCUAUAACAGUGAAUUCCCCGAGUCAGGUGUAUUUUUAAAUAUACUAAUGCAGAAUAAUUAUCAUAUUCCUCUAGCCAAGCAAUCCCUUCCCAUGUAGUAACUGUUUAUUUUUAACAGCAGCUCCUAAAUGCACGUAUUUCAUGAAAUUGUGUCAUUUUAAUAAAUAAAUCAAUCAGUAUUUGGUUCUCCUGGCUGAUUUUCUGCUCUGGUGGUGUCCUGCAGAUCCUUGUUGACGAUGGUGGUCGCUGGAGGCAGCACUGUUGAAGAUUUUAUCAUUUACAGACAAGAUCUCUGAAAUUUCCUUCAGACAGCAAAGGAAGAAGAGGCUUUAUUGCAACAAAACGGGCAAAAACCACAAAGAACUUGAAAAAAAAAAAAAACAAACAAAAAACAGCACUUCUGUAAUUCUUCCCAAAAGUUCUGAGAACCAUCAAAUCCUAAAGGAUUACACCCACCAGUCUUCCUGAUUUCAGCAGAUGUAAGUGGGGUGCAGGAGUUCCUCAGAUGAGGGGUGGAGGGAGGCAAGGAGCCAGCCCCAAUGGACAUAGCCCAUCAUCCAGAGCACCACAGGAGACUGUCUAAAGCCAAGCUCAAAGUGCAGCAGGAAUUCUAAAAAACCUCAAAGAUCCCCAAGAUAACCUGAAGCAAGACCAUGAGAAGCAAUGUAGCUUGGAGUGAACAAGAUGAACAGACCCACCUUCAAUCUAAUGCUUCAUGAGGAAAAAGGUCAGGAUUUUUAAAUUUUCAUGUCAAUCCCCUGUCCUACU